rnacentral:rRNA from 1 species
UACGUAGGGCGCAAGCGUUAUCCGGAAUUAUUGGGCGUAAAGAGCUCGUAGGCGGCUUGUCGCGUCGGAUGUGAAAGCCCGGGGCUUAACUCCGGGUCUGCAUUCGAUACGGGCAGGCUAGAGUUCGGUAGGGGGAGAUCGGAAUUCCUGGUGUAGCGGUGAAAUGCGCAGAUAUCAGGAGGAACACCGGUGGCGAAGGCGGAUCUCUGGGCCGAUACUGACGCUGAGGAGCGAAAAGCGUGGGGGGAGCGAA